AGGGAGAAACAACUUCAGAUGAUGAUCACUUCUUUUUACGUGAUCCAUUUGACUGUUCAACCCGAUGGUCGAUCGGUACCUCAGUCAUUCGAGCGAGAGUUUGAAUGAAUUCGGUUCUUAAGCUUGUCUAGGUCACCACACCAAAAGCUGAUAGGCUUUUGGGCGAUGGGCCCGAAAGGGUUCCUGGGCCAUUAGCUCAGGUGGUUAGAGCGCACCCCUGAUAAGGGUGAGGUCCCUGGUUCAAGUCCAGGAUGGCCCAUCGGGAUUGGGGGUUUAGCUCAGCUGGUAGAGCGCCUGCUUUGCAAGCAGGAUGUCAGCGGUUCGAGUCCGCUAACCUCCAUCAAUUCUGAUGAGGGAACACGACAGGGCGUUGGUGAUUUUAGACACGAUUGUUGGUGAAUCCAGCCUCGUUUGAUUCUUGAAAAAGUUCAAACGAUGCUGGGCUCAGCAAUGGGUUCAGCGAGAACCUUGACAACUGCAUAGGAAAGUCUGGAAAUUAAGCAUCUCACAGAUGUUAUUCAGAUGAGGAUCAACGGAUGCGUCAGUAUCUGUUGAUGUUUGUUUGAGUGAUUUUAUUCUGUGGAAGCCGAGAUCCAGUCAAUGAAUGAUGGAGCAAUCCAUUGUUGAUUGAGUGGAGAUUAUAU
rnacentral:tRNA from 1 species